UACGGAGGGUGCAAGCGUUAUCCGGAUUUACUGGGUUUAAAGGGUGUGUAGGCGGGUUAUUAAGUCAGUGGUGAAAUCUCCGGGCUCAACCCGGAAACUGCCAUUGAUACUAUUAGUCUUGAAUUUUGUUGAGGUAGGCGGAAUAAGUCAUGUAGCGGUGAAAUGCAUAGAUAUGACUUAGAACAUCAAUUGCGAAGGCAGCUUGCUAAACAAAUAUUGACGCUGAGGCACGAAAGCGUGGGGAUCAAACAGG
rnacentral:rRNA from 1 species